UUAUUUUGAAAUUUUGUCAAGUUCAAACUUCAAAAUACAAUGUCCUCUCCUACUUAGAAUAAGACCCUAUGCUAUAUGAACAAGAGCCAUGCAGAGACUUAACUCUUCACUGAAACUGGGAAAAUUUGAUUAGCUAGCUUUAGAUCAUUUUCCCAAGAGUAUAAAUGGUUCACAAAUCCUUCAUUAAUUGGCCUUGAAGCUUGAAACAAUAACAUUUUUCAAAGGGUAUAUCUUUUUUUUUAAUGAA
rnacentral:lncRNA from 1 species